CAAGUCUCAGAACUGGAGGAGCAGGCAGUUUUACAAGUUUUACGCCCCUGUUGUUCCUGAUGCGUCCAGUGGGGGAGGCUGGACAGUGUGAGCCUGAGCCAUCAGAACAGACCAGUCUAGAAGCCACACGAAUAUGAGAGAUUGGAAAUGCCUGAAUGAAUCUCAUCUAUGAAGAGGCUCGAGCACAUAAAUUACCUGGUUUUGGAGAUGACCAGCACAUCUUGAGGUCCACAGCCAAGAGACGAUUGCAACGUUCCUAUGGCAUAGACAGUAUGCUCUCCAAUCAGGGUAUCUUCCGUUCAAUCGCUUUUUAAUUGAAAUCUGAAUAAUAAAAAAAGGCACAUUUUUAAGAAUCGUUAAGAAGCCAUAGAAGGGGAGGACUAUUAUUAUGUUGUAAUGUUUGGUUGACCAAUCAGCGGAGAGGGGCGUUUCAUUCCCGCCCAUAUGUAGAGAUUGAAUAUUCAAGUUGUUUGUUCAUUUUCUAUCCCCGAAUGUAAAAACAAAAAAAUGAAGCGAGUUCUUGAUUUUUCAUUUUGUCAUUAAUAUUAAAUAAAAAAAUUAUUGAACGGAAGAUACCCUGUGCUGAACACUCCAGUCAAUUUCCCUCAGAAUCCAUGAUGCCAUGUGUCUAAACAGGAUGUCCAGGACCUCCAGCAGAAAUAUAGACCCACAACAUCAAAAAUACAGCAGUAUAUUUCAUUGUACACAUGGGAUACUUUUUAUCCCUGUGUUCACCAAACCCAUCUUGAGUGUUUGCUGCUAAAAAGCUCAUUUUUUAGUUUCAUCUGACCAUAGAAGCCAGUCCCAUUUGAAGUUCCAGUCGUGUCUGAUAACUGAAUAUGCUGGAGUUUGUUUUUGGAUGAGCGACGAGAAUUUUUCUUGAAACCCUCCCAAACAACUUUUUUUUUAAAGGUUUUCUGACCCAGAGAGUCAACUAUUUUCUGCAAUUCUCCAGCUGUGGUCAUUGGAGAGUGUUUAGCCACUCAAACUCUCUUUCUCACCAUGCAUUAGGACGAUAUAGACACACAUCCUCUUCCAGGCAGUUUCAUAACAUUUUAUGUUGAUUGGAAAUUCUUAAUUAUUGCCCUGAUGGUGGAAAUGGGAAUUUUCACUGCUCUAGCUCUUUUCUUAAAGCCACUUCACUAAUUUGUGAAGCUCAAUCAUCUUUUGCUGCACAUCAGAAAUAUAUUCUUUGGUUUUUCUCAUUGUGAUGGAUGAUUAAGGGAAUUUGGGCUUUGUUUUCCCUCCUAUUUAUAUUUCUGUGAAACAGGAAGCCAUGGCUGGAUCAUUUCAUGUUCAUAAUCACCCUGGAGUGCUCAAAAUUGUGAAUAUGAAUGGGAAUAUAUUUCAUAUAUAUUUUAGAUUUUUGUGAUUUUUAAGAUCAAAAGGAUUAA